CUUAAACAUAUUUUCAGUUAGUAAAUAUCUUAAAAUCAUAUGCACAUUUUUGUAAUAGCUAUUUUUUUUGCUUAUAGGUUAGCUGUGAAUAACUUGCAGUAUGUCGGCAAUGUGCUUGGCAUCAAAGACCCCAUUCAUAAGCAAAAAAUAUCACUAAAAGCAAUGGAUGUAGUGCUCUUCGGUCCUCCACGAGGUAAGAAAACAACACUGCAACGAACUGAAAACUUUUAAAUGUAUUUUGCAAGGCACAAAAAACUGUUUGUGUGAGACGAAGCACACAAUCUUUUUUAAAGACCCAACAAAGAAAAAAAAUGCUUUGUUAUCCAUAGUUAUACAUUUAUACAUUUUAUAGAAACCGGUACACGUUGGAAGGACUAUAUAUUGGUGACUCUGUUGUUAAGCGCUAUUAUUGGCUGUUGGUAUGCUUACCAGCAAAAUAAAAAUGCCAAGCGUCACCUACGUCGUAUGGCUCAGGAUAUGGAAGGAUUGCAGAAAGCCGAACAAAGUCUACAGGAGAUGCAGAAGGUUUGUUGGUUUGAUAAAAAUAAUUUUAAAUAAUUGUUGAAUAUUGUAGGAACUAGAGCGUGCUAGAAUGGAACAGGAAAAUGUGGCAACGGAAAAAAUGGACCUAGAACGGCGUCUUAAAGAGGCCCCCUCUCUUAGCUCAUCAAACUCAGACCUAGAGGUGUUGCAGUUGAAAAAAGAAGUGGAAAUGUUGCGAAAUGAAUUGUCGCGGGCCGAAUUCGAGUUGGUUGAUAAUUGCUGGGCCCCACCUCCGCAACUUCAAUCGUGGUUGCAAUACACAUAUGAACUAGAAAGUAAGAACCAUCAGAAGAAGCGCGCAUCUGCAGAGAAGCAGCUUCAGUCAGCAAGAGAGGCUUGUGAAAAAUUGCGUAAGAAGCGUUCGAGUUUGGUAGGAGCGUUUGUGUCUACCCACGGAAAAAGUAUUGAUGACGUUGAUCGUUCUAUUGUUGAGGCCCGCAAUGCUCUAGGAGAAGUAACAAAUGAACUACAAGAGCGAUUGCAUCGCUGGAAACAAAUUGAAACGUGCCUUGGAAUAAAUAUCGUAAAUAACAAUGGGUUGUCAUGUUUGGAAAAUGUGCUGUAUGGUCGCAAUGGUGGUUUCCAAAGUUCGAUUGGAGGAAGUGGUUCAAAAGGCUCAAGAAGUAAGCAUUUAUCUGUUUUUAAUAUUGUUUGGUACAAGUCGAAAUUUACCAUGAAUAUUCUUUGUCUGUUUAAAAAGCACGAAUUACUAGCAGUACUGAUGACCUAGAUGACGAGUCUGUGCAAGGUAAGCUGAACUUUGAGAACUUUUCGCUGCUCGCAACGGAAUAAACCUGCUGCGUCCGAUUGCACAACACAACUCAUCAAUAAAUACAAACAAACUGACAACUUACAGACAGUAAAAAACAGAGCUCGAUUGCUUUUUACUUAUUGAGUCUCAAUGAAAUUGUUGAAAAAUAAGAGAUUCUAUGUGUGUUUAUCAUUCAUGUAUUAAUGAUUAUGUAUAAAAUUGUAAUAUAGAUUUGUAUCUUAUAAUUGAUGAAGCUAAUAUUGCAUCCAUUAUGUUAUAUGAAGAUAUUUUUCAAAAACAAGCACAAAUGACGUGAUAUACUUUGAAAAUAUGCACGUAUUGAAUGUACUUAUAAAUAAUUUACAAUAAUCGUAGUGUGUUAAAUAAAUUAAACGCUAAUCUUUUUUAAUGGCUUGCCGCUACCUUCAGAACUUUUUAUUACUUUGCAGAGAGAAUACAUCUUAAAAUAUGCCAUUCAGUUAAAUUGUAAUAGUUGAUUGUCUUCCUAAAUUUAAUACAUUUACAUCAAUGUAUACUAAAAUGUAUAAAAUUAUUGUUAAAAUAUGUGUUAACUUUUUCUCUGACACUUAACCUACAGAACUGAACCAGACAAAUUGCUCAUAUUGGACGGAACUUUUCUAAAUGUUGACGUUCCCAAGACAGGAAAAGUCGAAAUAAACUAGUUUAUUUUUGUUUAUAUAUUAUUCGUAUAGGCUCGUUUAUAUAGAGGAUUCUUUGGAUGGAGGAACAAUAUUUAAAAGUCCCUUUCGUUUAUUUGUAUAAAAUUUUGACACAUUUGCCUGUAACGUACCGAAUGGGAUAUAAAUUAGAAAUGCGUUUUUAGUUUUGGCCAAAUAGCUUUAGCUUAGCCAUUUAUUCAAAUAUAUAAACGAUGCCUUUAAUGACACUCAAUUGACAUGGUUAUACGUAUAAAGUAUAAAACAAAAACAAAUAAUUUAUUUCGAUGAUUCUUGAGUUUUCAAAGUAGAAAUUUGAAAGCGUAAUAUAUCCCAGUUUUUGUUUUGGUUGUUCCAUAGAGUAUUCUUUUCCUGUGAACAAUUUAAAAAAUAUGUGAAUUAAGCGAAUGAUAUCGAAAUGUAUAAUUAAAAAAAUAUUUUGCAAGGGAUUUCAAUAAAAAAGAAAUUAAUACCUAAAUAUCAUUUUAUAUCUUAUAUCUUUAAUCCGAAAAAAACGAUCUCCUUUUUAUACCCGGUACUAGAAGAGCUAUUUGAGAUUUGUGGUUAUAGAUUUAUAAUCGAAGCGGUGUGCGUUUCCGAAUCCUUAAAGAAAUAAUGUUCUUGAUCAGAAUCAAUAGGCGAAUAGAUACAGCCGGUCUGACUUUUCGUAUUGUUUGCCGCCAAGUUCUCAGAGACUAUAAGAGCUAGAGUCUCCAAGUUAUGUUUGAUAUGUGAUAUCACAUUUAAUUACGUUUUUUCAGAAUUUUGCGCCCUAUUCGCCUCCACAGAAGACGAAAAUCUUCAUGCUUUUGUUCUAAGGGAGAACUUUACUUAAAGAAUAUUCAACAAAUUGAUAUUUUUUGGAAACUCAGGAAAAGUCGAAAAAAAUUAUAUCCUGGGUCCUUUAUUUUGUAUGUGUAUAAGGGCAUUCAUUCGGCAUCGUUUAAGGCAUUGAUCAUUAAAAAAUAUGGAUAAAUGGCAGAGCUAAAAUUAGUUGACCAACCCUCCGAACCCUUCAUGUUUUGAGGAGAUGCUAUUUUACACCCCACUUCGGCCCUUUAAGCCUAGUAUUCAUCCGAAAACAGGUUUGCUAGCAAAAUGUGCAAUAUAUUUUGGUAGCGGCAGUGUGUGACCAGAAGUAGAAGUGUUAACUGCAUUCCGUACGGUUACACUUCUCAGGCAGCUGUGUUGUUUUGUUUACUUUGUGAACAUUUGUGAAAAGUGAAUAAAAAGUAAAGAAAACAUUCAAUAAGAAAUGGAUCCAAGCAGGAGACUACUUUUGGUGGGAUUGGCGGCCCUUGUAAUAGCGGACGAGAAGGAGAAUCAACCCAUAUACUCAUACCUGCUGGAAAGAAACAAGAAGAUUCGUGUUUCUAUAGUUGUGAGUAAUAUUAAUCAUAUUGAAAUGCUUGCAAAUACAUCUAAAAAUACUCUUUAUACAUUUUGUAGUUGGAAAGCGUGACUCAAAGGCCAUUAGAAUUCAUUUAGAAUUUGCAUAUCUCUGAGGCGAACUUCAGCCGCUUUUUUGGACUGGUAAAGCAGUACUUGGUCCUCAAACGGAAUACUUGGGCAUUGUUCUAAAGUGAAUAUUGUAUAUGUCCAUGCACUUAUACAUAGUAAAUCGUUUCUUUGAUUAGAUUUCUUGUGUCCGGUAACUUGCAGCGCCACGUGUGCAGAGCAUAUCGGAUCAGCAAACAACAAUUCGGCGUGAUAAUUAUACAUUUGCAUUUCCCUGUCCAAUGAAUUUCCCAAAUUGAGCACAGACAACAUGUUAAAGUGGGCUAAGGCUUCGAAAAGGAAGGGAACUUUUCGAACUGUGUGUGAGCCGUUGCCGGAAAACAUUUGGCAAUAAAGCGGGAGCUGUUUUUGUAUGUAUGUCGCUUAUUUAUUUUGUUUAACAUUUAAUAUAAGUGACUCCCUUCAGGGCUGCCACUGCGCUUAUGACGAUCUGCGACGCCCAGUAUAUGUUCACCUAUGUACAUAAAGGUUGCCGCCUAUGGAAGUGAGGGCCUUCCUACGCUGCUAGCUUGGUAUCUUUGCGCCGAUGGGUGGCUGUGCAGCGUACCCUAUUUACCCGACAAGAAAAGUCUCAAACAAUUGUUGCUGCUUGUUUUCGGCCACAAAAUUUAUUAAUGCGCACGAGCCCCAAUACAUACGUACAUUUACCAUACAUUGAGAUUCAUUAAUUCAACACUGUAUAGUCCGAUCCCCUCCCCUGUUGCAUCAAUCGCCCUCAGCACUAUUGACAGGCCUUUAGAAACAACUUAAAAAUUCGAAGUAAUUAAACAAAUAAAUGCAUAUAUAUUUAAUUUAUUUACUUCUCCAUUCUUUGCAUUUUUGAUGGCUUCGAUCUGCUUAAAAUGGAUCUCUUUCUCAGUGGCCGAAGUGCUCUUCUCCAUGGUCCUCUUC
rnacentral:lncRNA from 1 species